rnacentral:rRNA from 1 species
UACAGAGGGUGCAAGCGUUAAUCGGAAUUACUGGGCGUAAAGCGCGCGUAGGCGGCUUUGCAAGUCGGGUGUGAAAUCCCCAGGCUCAACCUGGGAACUGCAUUCGAGACUGCAUUGCUAGAGUAUGGGAGAGGGAAGUGGAAUUUCCGGUGUAGCGGUGAAAUGCGUAGAUAUCGGAAGGAACAUCAGUGGCGAAAGCGACUUCCUGGACCAAUACUGACGCUCAUGUGCGAAAGCGUGGGGAGCAAACAGG